GUGCUUGAUGGACUUCAACGCUUCAUAUCGAGCCCAAUAAUGAUUAUGAAUAGCACGAAUUUCCCUCGCAGAAUAGUUGAAUUUCUUCAAUAAUUUAUAGCUCUAAGUGAGCUUGACGAUGCUGCGGUACAUUUUCAUGAAGAGGGACGCAAUAGUAUUAACAAUUUGUCUCGCAUGUAUGUCAAUCUUAUGGAAUUCUGGUUACGUGGUGGCAGGAGGAAGUAGUUAUAAACCAAGGUGGAAAGCCAACUCCAGAUGUUCUCCUCCUAAAGGUGGAUGCGCAAAACCAACGAGUACCCACGAUUUCAUGAUGUACUUUGCACAGGAAGAUGGAAGCGCCUGUUACGCUAUUCAAACAAGCAAUUGCUUCGGGAAAGGUUAUCCGAAAGAUAGCAUGUGCAGAAACAAGUGCGGAAUAAAGAGGAAAUGACAAGACUGCCACCAGUGUACAGUUGUUCUGAGUGAUAUUAAAAAGCUUCAUCACU